GAUGAAGAACGUAGUGAAAUGCGAUAAGUAAUGUGAAUUGCAGAAUUCAGUGAAUCAUCGAAUCUUUGAACGCACAUUGCGCCCGCCAGUAUUCUGGCGGGCAUGCCUGUUCGAGCGUCAUUUCAACCAUCAAGCCCCAGGCUUGUGUUGGGGACCUGCGGCUGCCGCAGGCCCUGAAAACCAGUGGCGGGCUCGCUGUCACACCGGGCGUAGUAGAUUUUAUCUCGCUCAGGGCGUGCUGCGGGUUCCGGCCGUUAAAAAGCCUUUUUUACCCAAGGUUGACCUCGGAUCAGGUAGGAAGCCCCGCUCAACUUAAGCAUAUCAAUAAGCGGAGGA
rnacentral:misc_RNA from 1 species